UGAAAUUUCAUAUAUUUCAUAUAUGAAUUUCAAGGCUCUACUAAAGUACAAAGUUAGCAGGCAAAUAACAUUUCUGGUUUACAUCUAGCAGAUAGAAACUCCCCACCAUAUUACAUUUCAAAGCAUUACAAAAGGGAUCUUUAUAGAAUACAGUUAAGAGAGCACUAUGAUUAAUCCUGCAUUAAGCAUCUUCAAUCCAACUAUAACUAAAGUACUAAGAAUGCUGUAGGAUCAGACUUACAGUGACUAUCACUGAAGAGUGAAGACUUACUGAACCUCUGUGUUUUCUUUUAUCCAGGUAUUUGAUUGAGAACUCCUCAUAUAGUGAAGUGCUUUAGAAUUUACAGCUGCUGCAGUGAAAAAUCAAUAGCAAAACUCUACAAGACUCCUAUGGCAGCAGAAAAAGCAUCAAGAAAAGUGGCUGUGACACUAUACAUCACUAUUCUGCAGUACUGCAACACUUCUUGGAGAGAGCCCUGGCCUUGAACUUCAAGUUAUGAGUCAAAGCAGUGAUUUUUACUGUACCUGAAUCACAUGACUGAGGAGAUGCUUUUCAUCAAAGCCCUUUUGAAAUUGAAGGCUUCAGCUCCACUAGCAAUAGCU
rnacentral:lncRNA from 1 species